CGACAAUAGACAACAUAGAUCAACAACAGACGACAACAAACCCUGCAAUUAACGACAAAACGGAUCCCGGUUACGGACCCAGGCGUAACAACCCUGCCUGAGACGGACACCUUUAACUCCGUCUCCCUAAUGCUGGCCACCGAAUAGACCAAUCUCAUCUAGUGCUGGCCUCCAUGUUCUCCCUCCCCCCUAAAUCAAUAAUUAGACGGACAUCUUCGACUUCAUCAGGUAUACAUCAAACAAUCAAACAAUUUGGCAACAAUAUAAACGACGAUGAGACAACGAAACAUAUAAGUAACACCAUAAGGCUGCUAAAAGGCAACAAGCUCGCCGGAAAAUGCUGUGGCAAGAUGCUAGUGCAGAGACGCCGCGGGAAUUAUAAAUGUAUAUAUAUAUAUAUACACUGGUCGGCAUAUUUAUUUUGACAAAACUUAAGUCAAAUCUGCUCUUAAUUUGAACUAACUUUAUAAACAUUUUAGCAUUAAUGAAAAGGCCAUUUAAAUCCUGUUUGAAUGAUACAAAAUUUUCCUUAACCCAUUAAUUACCCAUUGAAAAUUUUGAAUUUAUGUCGACGUAGAAUUGAGUCAAACUGAUUUUUUUUCUCGGGCUUAGACAAAAAAUGUUUUGAUGCAAAAAGUGUCUUUAAACAAUUUUAAU